UCCUACUGAUAUAUUGUGAAAAAUAAUAAUAUAAUAUAUACACAGAAAGGGAGGGGGAGAGAGAGGGGGUGAGGGUGGGGGGCAUUGGGCUUUGCCUUCGUGACGAAGUAAAAGCAGAACAAAAUGGGAUUGCGAAGGGAACACGGUAGUUUACUCGGUGUGGGAGAGUGAGACUGCUCUCCCCCUCUCUUAUCUCUCUACUCGCUACUAAUACGCGUUCCUCUUGUGUAUCCCUUCAAGUCGGUGCUCUUCCCUCCCCUACUCUCCGAUCUUUCCUCGUUCGUUCUCUCUGUCUCUGUCUCUCUGUCUCUCACGCUUCACUUCCCACCUACCACAACAACUAUAUAUAUGCAUACGUACGUGCCUCCUUCCCCUCAACACGUCGCCGCCGAGCCAAGGCCCCUCCGCCUUGCCCUGGUGGCGGCCGGAACAGCACCUCGUUUGAUUCCGCGAAGGGGACGGGUCCUGAGGAACGUCCUGAAACUGGUGUUUUCUUGUUUCCGGCCCCCGCCGGCGUCCAGGGUGGCCCCUUCUUGGUCUUGAUAGCGGCGGCGUUUUGGUGGAAAGGAAACACGGUUAGAGGUGGGGUGUCUCUCUCUGUCAAGGAUGCCUCCCUCCCACGCUCGUAAGUGUUUGGAAUAGAAUAAAUUAACUUUGUUUUGUUCAGAUAUAAAUUGGGUGGAUCCGGAGGAGUUUAGAUGAUGAUUCAUCUAGCUAGCUACGCUUCGUGUAACUGUUUCUGUCAGGAUGAUAAUAUGUUGUAUUUGUGUAGUUUGAUUUUGGAUUCUUUUGUUGUUUCAUUUCCAAAUAUAGCUUCUUCAUAACAGACCCGAUCUUUUUUCUCGUGGUCUUUGUAACUGUAGCUCUCUCUCCUAUGGAAAUGGAAUUCUGAUUAUUGUUUGAUUCAGACAGACUCUCUCUCUCUCUCUCUCUCAGGUGGAAUUGUUUUCUUCGAAGAUAUGAGUAAAUAAGGUCUCUGUUUCAUUUCUUCUUCAUAGGCCCUGUUUCUGUUUCUGUUUCUGUUUCUGUCUUAUAUUUGUCUUUUUCUUUUCUUCUUUUUUUUGUGAAACUUAGGAAGAUCUAUCUAUGCUUGAUGGGUCUAUCGGAUGAGAAUGGAGUGUUUGUAUUGAAACGGGGUGAAAUCACUCGACUUCCCCUUUCUGCCCCAGAAACAGCAACCCUUUUCAUUUCUUCUAAUUGCAUCUUCUUGUUCUUCUUCGUUUUGCUGCUGGAUCACAGCAGUUGCCUUGGACCUUCAAACAGAGAACCCGUGCCUUCUAUUUCUUUCAUCUCUUCAGAGCCCAUGUCUUUUUUUUUUUUUGGCUGUGAUGAAAGCAAUAAUUGUAAAUACAAAAAUUACCCCCUUUAAUUCUUUAACAUUAUCAUAUAGGCAAAACUGGGCAUAUUUUAUGAUCAGAUAAAAAUACCCAGGUGGCUGGCAAUCAUUGAGAGAGCUGUUAAUGCCACUGUCCAUGCGGUUAUCCCCUGAAUGCUACGGCUUCUAGCUUGACUGGUGGCCAUCUGCAUAAAUUACUUAUCCAGUUUAAAAGAUUCCAGAGUAACAUCACAUCACAAAUCCCUAGGCGAAAAUUGGCGUGUUGAUUGGCCUAAGCUUAUGAUUUUUCAAAGAGAUGGUUUGAAUUUAUUAGAGCCUUUUUCAACAAGUGGAGAACCGAACAGAGGGAAAAGAUAAAAGCUAAGAGCAGAAGCAAAACCCAAAUUGCCUUCCUUUUAUCAAAUCGUCUCCCCACCACCACCACCACCACCACCACCACCACCACGGCUGCGUACUAUCCAAUUUCUGACAGGGCUACAAAUUAGUUUUAUUAUAAGCCGGUUUUAAAAGAUUUUCAAACCAAGGGUGUCUGUCAAAGAGGUAAACAAAGUUGCUUAUGAUUCACCUUGACAUUUUCUCUCUAUAAAUUUUCCCUAGAAAGUCAGAAGAAAGGGGGAGCUUCCAUCUCAUAUCAUCACGUGUUAUAUAUCUUAUCCAAGGAAGUAAAAACAAAAGAGGGAAGGGACCCUCGAAAGUUAUUCAAACGUGUCAAGUGCGCCCCCCACCCCCACCCCAUCGAACCUUUUCGGCACAGCCUAGGAUCGAGCCUCAUCUGUUGCCAUCCGAACAGCUUCGAAGCCCACAAAAUUUAACAUAAGAUUUAACCCUUUAUCGUAAACAACUGCUUCCAUUUAACCAUUUAUUCCUAAUCUCUAAAUAAAUUUUAUUUUUACUUUAACAGUCAUAUAUAUAUAUAUAUAUAAUCGCGAUUUGUAUAUAACAAGUAGUUAUAAAAUAUGAUGCACUGUCUUGAAAUUUGACCCAGAAAGGUCGGGGGCAAGAAGGAGAAUUAAAGUUUGAAUAUUUGACCGGUCAAACAUCUACCAGUUCCGGUUGACUGCGUGCAAACCACGCUUGUGAUGAUGCAAGCAUUUCUUAGGCGACAACGUCUUACGUCAUACGGACGUCCAAACUUAGAUGUCAUCUUUUCUUUUUGAGUGCAAUUUUGUUGGUCACUUUAAAGGUUGACCAUCACUCUCAUUAUUUUUGUGAGGAAAAAAAAUAACGGAAUGAUAAUUAAAUAUUA